rnacentral:rRNA from 1 species
AGUGAACGCUGGCGGUAGGCCUAACACAUGCAAGUCGAACGGCCGCACAGUAAGCGCUUGCUCUUACGGGUGGCGAGUGGCGGACGGGUGAGGCAUACAUCGGAAUCUACUUUUUCGUGGGGGAUAACGGAGGGAAACUUACGCUAAUACCGCAUACGACCUACGGGUGAAAUCAGGGGAUCUUCGGACCUUGCGCGUUUGAAUGAGCCGAUGUCGGAUUAGCUAGUUGGCGGGGUAAAGGCCCACCAAGGCGACGAUCCGUAGCUGGUCUGAGAGGAUGAUCAGCCACACUGGAACUGAGACACGGUCCAGACUCCUACGGGAGGCAGCAGUGGGGAAUAUUGGACAAUGGGCGCAAGCCUGAUGCAGCCAUACCGCGUGAGUGAAGAAGGCCUUCGGGUUGUAAAGCCCUUUUGUUGGGAAAGAAAAGCAGCAGGUUAAUACCCCGCUGUUCUGACGGUACCCAAAGAAUAAGCACCGGCUAACUUCGUG